rnacentral:rRNA from 1 species
GGGGGGACCACCCUCCAACCCUAAAUACUACCCAGUGACCGAUAGCGUAUAGUACUGUGAAGGAAAGGUGAAAAGCACCCCGGGAGGGGAGUGAAAAAGAACCUGAAACCCUGUGCCUACAAGCACCUAGAGCGCGUCAAAGCGUGAUAGGGUACUUUUUGUAGAACGGUCCGGCGAGCGAUUGUAUGCAGCAAGGUUAAGGACUUAAGGUCUGGAGCCGAAGCGAAAGCGAGUUUGAAAAGGGCGUUAAGUUGCAUAUAAUGGGCCCGAAACCGGGUGACCUACCCAUGGUCAGGUUGAAGUGGAAGUAAAAUUCCAUGGAGGACCGAACCGACCUCCGUUGAAAAGGCGGCGGAUGAACUGUGGGUAGCGGAGAAAUUCCAAUCGAACCCGGAGAUAGCUGGUUCUCCCCGAAAUAGUUUUAGGACUAGCCUCAAGUUAGAUACCUGGAGGUAAAGCACUGAAUAGCCUAGCGGCCGAGAGGUUAGCGAAGCUUAUCAAACUCAGAAUGCCAGAGUAUUGAUGCUUGGGAGUCAGACAGUGUCAGAUAAAUGUCAUUGUCAAAAGGGAAACAGCCCAGAUCUACAGCUAAGGUCCCAAAGUCAGGUUAAGUGGAAAACGAUGUGAAGAUACGCAGACAACCAGGAUGUUGGCUCAGAAGCAGCCACUCAUUCAAAGAGUGCGUAAUAGCUCACUGGUCGAGCGUCUUUGCGCGGAGAAUUUAACGGGGCUAAACCUGACACCGAAGCUUAGGCAAUACAGUAAUGUAUUGGGUAGGGGAGCGUUGUAUACGCGGAGAAACAGUAGCGCAAGCGGCUGUGGAGUGUAUAGAAGUGAGAAUGCCGGAAUGAGUAGCGCGAAUGCAGUGAGAAUCUGCAUGGCCGAAAGCCUCAGGUUUCUGGAGGAAGGUUCGUCCGCUCCAGGUUAGUCGGGAGCUAAGGUGAGGCCGGAAGGCGUAGCCGAUGCACAGACGGUAGAGAUUCCGUCACCACCAAAAGAGUUAAGCACAGGGACACAUAUGAAGUCUCAGAGCCGGGUGUUGGUUCCGGUAGAGAUCGAGGGAAGUUAGUACCGAAGUCUGAGAUGGAAGAUGGCGAGAAAAGCUGUGUGUAUUUCUGAGGUGCCCGUACCGCAAACCGACACAGGUAGGUAGGAAGAAGAUUCUAAGGCCAACGGGAGAAGGGUUGUUAAGGAACUCGGCAAAUUGACCCCGUAACUUCGGGAGAAGGGGUGCUCCAGAGAUGGAGCCGCAGAGAAUCGGCCCAAGCAACUGUUUACCAAAAACACAGGUUUGUGCUAAAUCGAAAGAUGACGUAUACGAGCUGACGCCUGCCCGGUGCUGGAAGGUUAAGAGGAGAUGUGCAAGCAUUGAAUCGAAGCCCCAGUGAACGGCGGCCGUAACUAUAACGGUCCUAAGGUAGCGAAAUUCCUUGUCAGGUAAGUUCUGACCCGCAUGAAAGGCGUAAUGAUUUGGGCACUGUCUCAACAGCCCGCCCGGCGAAAUUGUAGUACCGGUGAAGAUGCCGGUUACCCGCGACAAGACGGAAAGACCCCAUGGAGCUUUACUGUAGCCUAAUAUUGGGUUUCGAUGUUGCAUGCACAGGAUAGAUGGGACUCUGGGAAACCAAGGCUUUGGCUUUGGCGGAGAGGCCGUUGGGAUACCAUCCUUGCGAUAUUGGAAUUCUAACCUGCGGCUCUGAAUCGAGUCGGGGGACAUUGUUAGGUGGGCAGUUUGACUGGGGCGGUCGCCUCCUAAAGAGUAACGGAGGCGUUCAAAGGUUCGCUCAGCUUGAACGGAAAUCAAGCAAAAGAGUGCAAACGCAGAAGCGAGCCUAACUGCGAGACUGACGGGUCGAGCAGUAACGAAAGUUGGAGUUAGUGAUCCGGUGGUAUGUGAGUGGAAAUGCCAUCGCUCAACGGAUAAAAGUUACCCUGGGGAUAACAGGCUGAUCUCCCCCAAGAGUCCACAUCGACGGGGAGGUUUGGCACCUCGAUGUC